rnacentral:rRNA from 1 species
UAGGGAAUCUUCCGCAAUGGGCGAAAGCCUGACGGAGCAACGCCGCGUGAGUGAUGAAGGUCUUCGGAUCGUAAAACUCUGUUAUUAGGGAAGAACAAAUGUGUAAGUAACUAUGCACGUCUUGACGGUACCUAAUCAGAAAGCCACGGCUAACUACGUGCCAGCAGCCGCGGUAAUACGUAGGUGGCAAGCGUUAUCCGGAAUUAUUGGGCGUAAAGCGCGCGUAGGCGGUUUUUUAAGUCUGAUGUGAAAGCCCACGGCUCAACCGUGGAGGGUCAUUGGAAACUGGAAAACUUGAGUGCAGAAGAGGAAAGUGGAAUUCCAUGUGUAGCGGUGAAAUGCGCAGAGAUAUGGAGGAACACCAGUGGCGAAGGCGACUUUCUGGUCUGUAACUGACGCUGAUGUGCGAAAGCGUGGGGAUCAAACAGGAUUAGAUACCCUGGUAGUCCACGCCGUAACGAUGAGUGCUAAGUGUUAGGGGGUUUCCGCCCCUUAGUGCUGCAGCUAACGCAUUAAGCACUCCGCCUGGGGAGUACGGCCGCAAGGUUG